UUUCCCUCUGUUCUCGUACCUGUCUUCAAUUCUAUUGCAGUGUACGGGUUUUCAUAUUUUUAACUUAUUGGAUUUGGGAAGGGAAGGACAGGUUUUCGUCUGCUUAUUUGUUUCCACCCAAACAAACCGCAGUCAAAGUGCUCUGCGCGUGUAGGACCCACUAGCAACCCACCAACUGCAAUUAUGAUUAUCAACGUGAAGGAGUCAUCGCUGGUGCAGCCGGCGGAGGAGACGCCACGGCGGUGUUUGUGGAACGCGAACGUCGACCUUGUUGUGCCGAGAUUCCACACCCCGAGCGUCUACUUCUACAGACCGACUGGUGCUCCU
rnacentral:misc_RNA from 1 species